rnacentral:lncRNA from 1 species
CGCACGCGCGUCAGGACCCAUGCUCGCCAUCUGGUCAACCCGACCCCAUCACUGAAACAAAACCCAUCUCUCUCUCACUAUAACCUCUCUCUCUCUCUCACUAUAACCUCUCUCUCUCUCUAACCCUAGAACACACUUUAACGGCCUCACCUCUCUCUCUCUCUCUAACCCUAGUACGAACUUUAACAGCCUCACCUCUCUCUCUCUAUCUCUUUCAUCCAUGAUCCCUGGUUCGAAUCCCUCUUUCUCUCUCUAAAGCCCUAAUUAUAAGGAACUCAUCAGGUGCCUCUUU